GUUAUAUUGCACUACAGUUUUCCUUUAAGAGACAUCCUUAUCUAAAGAUGGAAACCACUGAUAUUUUUUUCCUUAAAGAGGACCUGUCUUGUCUGUUUUACUAACUACUUGAAAAUAACAAUUAACUACAUCGGAUAGGCCUGACAAAGCGCAGACAUGCUAAACGGUCCAUCGCCUUUUCCUCUGUUCCCCAUCUGUCUUGCUCGCCUGUAUGCCACCACGAACCCAAUAAAGCAAGAAGUGAAUUCAUCCGGGCGGGUCGGCAACCCUGAACUCACCUUGAUGGAAGAAGAUCCCAGACAGCCAGAGCACAGCAAGGAACAGCGGAAAGUAUUCAAUGCAGUUAACCCUGCA